AACGUACGCUGGCGGCACGCCUAACACAUGCAAGUCGAACGAAGUAGCAAUACUUAGUGGCAGACGGGUGAGUAACAUGUAGGUAUCUGCCCUUUGGCCUGGAAUAACACGAGGAAACUUGUGCUAAUACCGGAUAAGUCUUUACGGAGAAAGCUUUAUGCACCAUUGGAUGAGCCUGCACUUGAUUAGUUUGUUGGUGGGGUAAUGGCCUACCAAGACUGUGAUCAAUAGCUGAUUUGAGAGGAUGAUCAGCCACAUUGGGACUGAGACACGGCCCAAACUCCUACGGGAGGCAGCAGUGGGGAAUCUUGCACAAUGGAGGAAACUCUGAUGCAGCGAUGCCGCGUGAGUGAAGAAGGCCCUUGGGUUGUAAAGCUCUUUCGUCGGGGAAGAAAAUGACUGUACCCGAAUAAGAAGGUCCGGCUAACUUCGUGCCAGCAGCCGCGGUAAUACGAAGGGACCUAGCGUAGUCCGGAAUUACUGGGCUUAAAGAGUUCGUAGGUGGUUGAAAAAGUUAGUGGUGAAAUCCCAGAGCUUAACUCUGGAACUGCCAUUAAAACUUUUCAGCUAGAGUAUGAUAGAGGAAAGCAGAAUUUCUAGUGUAGAGGUGAAAUUCGUAGAUAUUAGAAAGAAUACCAAUUGCGAAGGCAGCUUUCUGGAUCAUUACUGACACUGAGGAACGAAAGCAUGGGUAGCGAAGAGGAUUAGAUACCCUCGUAGUCCAUGCCGUAAACGAUGUGUGUUAGACGUUGGAAAUUUAUUUUCAGUGUCGCAGGGAAACCGAUAAACACACCGCCUGGGGAGUACGACCGCAAGGUUAAAACUCAAAUGAAUUGACGGGGACCCGCACAAGUAGUGGAGCAUGUGGUUUAAUUCGAAGAUACGCGCAGAACCUUACCAACACUUGACAUGUUCGUCGCGACUCUAAGAGAUUAGAGUUUUCGGUUCGGCCGGACGAAACACAGGUGCUGCAUGGCUGUCGUCAGCUCGUGUCGUGAGAUGUUGGGUUAAGUCCCGCAACGAGCGCAACCCUCACUUUUAGUUGCCAUCAUUAAGUUGGGCACUCUGAAAGAACUGCCAGUGAUAAGCUGGAGGAAGGUGGGGAUGACGUCAAGUCCUCAUGGCCCUUACGUGUUGGGCUACACACGUGCUACAAUGGUAUCUACAACAGGAAGCAAGACUGCGAAGUUAAGCAAAUCCCUAAAAGAUACCUCAGUUCGGAUUGCACUCUGCAACUCGAGUGCAUGAAGCUGGAAUUACUAGUAAUCGUGGAUCAGCGUGCCACGGUGAAUGCGUAACCGGGUCU
rnacentral:rRNA from 1 species